rnacentral:rRNA from 1 species
AGAGUUUGAUCCUGGCUCAGAAUGAACGCUGGCGGCAUGCCUAACACAUGCAAGUCGAACGAAGGCUUCGGCCUUAGUGGCGCACGGGUGCGUAACGCGUGGGAAUCUGCCCCUUGGUUCGGAAUAACAGCGAGAAAUUGCUGCUAAUACCGGAUAAUGACGUAAGUCCAAAGAUUUAUCGCCUAGGGAUGAGCCCGCGUAGGAUUAGCUAGUUGGUGUGGUAAAGGCGCACCAAGGCGACGAUCCUUAGCUGGUCUGAGAGGAUGAUCAGCCACACUGGGACUGAGACACGGCCCAGACUCCUACGGGAGGCAGCAGUGGGGAAUAUUGGACAAUGGGCGAAAGCCUGAUCCAGCAAUGCCGCGUGAGUGAUGAAGGCCUUAGGGUUGUAAAGCUCUUUUACCCGGGAUGAUAAUGACAGUACCGGAG